UAGCCGUAGAGACCUGCGGAGGAUAUUACCGAGUGAGGGCCCUUUGGGUCCAACCUCCCACCCGUGUUUAUUUACCUCGUUGCUUCGGCGGGCCCGCCUUAACUGGCCGCCGGGGGGCUCACGCCCCCGGGCCCGCGCCCGCCGAAGACACCCCCGAACUCUGCCUGAAGAUUGUCGUCUGAGUGAAAAUAUAAAUUAUUUAAAACUUUCAACAACGGAUCUCUUGGUUCCGGCAUCGAUGAAGAACGCAGCGAAAUGCGAUACGUAAUGUGAAUUGCAAAUUCAGUGAAUCAUCGAGUCUUUGAACGCACAUUGCGCCCCCUGGUAUUCCGGGGGGCAUGCCUGUCCGAGCGUCAUUGCUGCCCUCAAGCCCGGCUUGUGUGUUGGGCCCCGUCCUCCGAUUCCGGGGGACGGGCCCGAAAGGCAGCGGCGGCACCGCGUCCGGUCCUCGAGCGUAUGGGGCUUUGUCACCCGCUCUGUAGGCCCGGCCGGCGCUUGCCGAUCAACCCAAAUUUUUAUCCAGGUUGACCUCGGAUCAGGUAGGGAUACCCGCUGAACUUAA
rnacentral:rRNA from 1 species